rnacentral:rRNA from 1 species
GACGAACGCUGGCGGCGUGCCUAAUACAUGCAAGUCGAGCGGACCACUUCGGUGGUCAGCGGCGGACGGGUGAGUAACACGUGGGCAACCUGCCUGUAAGACUGGGAUAACACCGGGAAACCGGUGCUAAUACCGGAUAAUCCUUUCCCUCACAUGAGGGAAAGCUGAAAGACGGUUUCGGCUGUCACUUACAGAUGGGCCCGCGGCGCAUUAGCUAGUUGGUGAGGUAACGGCUCACCAAGGCGACGAUGCGUAGCCGACCUGAGAGGGUGAUCGGGCACACUGGGACUGAGACACGGCCCAGACUCCUACGGGAGGCAGCAGUAGGGAAUCUUCCGCAAUGGACGAAAGUCUGACGGAGCAACGCCGCGUGAGCGAUGAAGGCCUUCGGGUCGUAAAGCUCUGUUGUCAGGGAAGAACAAGUACCGGAGUAACUGCCGGUACCUUGACGGUACCUGACCAGAAAGCCACGGCUAACUACGUGCCAGCCGCCGCCGUAAAAC